rnacentral:rRNA from 1 species
AUUGAACGCUGGCGGCAGGCCUAACACCUGCAAGUCGAGCGGAGCGGCGGACGGGUGAGUCAUGCCUAGGAAUCUGCCUGGUGGUGGGGGAUAACGUCCGGAAACGGGCGCUAAUACCGCAUAAUAUCAGCUGAGCCUAGGUCGGAUGAGCUAGUUGGUGGGGUAAAGGCUUACCAAGGCGACGAUGCGUAACUGGGCUGAGAGGAUGAUCAGUCACACGGGAACUGAGACACGGUCCAGACGCCUACGAGAGGCAGAAGUGGGGAAUAUUGGACAAUGGGCGAAAGCCUGAUCCAGCCAUGCCGCGUGUGUGAAGAAGGUCUUCGGAGUGUAAAGCACUUUAAGUUGGGAGGCGUUACCAACAGAAUAAGCACCGGCUAACUUCGUGCCAGCAGCCGCGGUAAUAC